rnacentral:misc_RNA from 1 species
GAUGAAGAACGUAGCGAAAUGCGAUAAGUAAUGUGAAUUGCAGAAUUCCGUGAAUCAUCGAAUCUUUGAACGCACAUUGCGCCCUUUGGUAUUCCGAAGGGCAUGCCUGUUCGAGCGUCAUUAUCACCCCUCAAGCCCUCGGCUUGGUGUUGGACGGUUUGGUGGAGGCCCCCUCGGGGGCUCCUGCCCCUCCCAAAGACAAUGACGGCGGCCUCGUUGGACCCCCGGUACACUGAGUUCUUCACGGGACACGUAUCGGACACAUGGGUUUACGGGACACGGUCUGCCUCCCCUCAGGGAGAAUCUUUCUAAGGUUGACCUCGGAUCAGGUAGGGAUACCCGCUGAACUUAAGCAUAUCAAUAAGCGGAGGA